rnacentral:rRNA from 1 species
UACAGAGGAUGCAAGCGUUAUCCGGAAUGAUUGGGCGUAAAGCGUCUGUAGGUGGCUUUUUAAGUCCGCCGUCAAAUCCCAGGGCUCAACUCUGGACAGGCGGUGGAAACUACCAAGCUGGAGUACGGUAGGGGCAGAGGGAAUUUCCGGUGGAGCGGUGAAAUGCGUAGAUAUUGGGAGGAACACCGGUGGCGAAGGCGGCCCUCUGGACCGGUACUGACGCUGAUGCGCGAAAGCGUGGGGAGCAAACGGG